AUAUCAAUAAGCGGAGGAAAAGAAACUAACAAGGAUUCCCCUAGUAACGGCGAGUGAAGCGGGAACAGCUCAAAUUUGAAAUCUCACAAGUUUUCUUGUGCGAAUUGUAGUUUAUAGAAACGUUUUCGGAGGUGGCUUGGGCAUAAGUCCUUUGGAAUGAGGCAUCAUAGAGGGUGACAAUCCCGUCUUUGGUCCAAUGUCCGCUUCUAUGUGAUACGUUUUCUAAGAGUCGGUUUGUUUGGGAAUGCAGACCAAAAUGGGUGGUAAAUACCAUCUAAAGCUAAAUAUUGGCGAGAGACCGAUAGCGAACAAGUACCGUGAGGGAAAGAUGAAAAGAACUUUGAAAAGAGAGUUAAACAGUACGUGAAAUUGUCAAAAGGGAAACGCUUGAAACCAGUAUUGCUUGCAAGUAAUCAGCCGUACCUUUUGGUGCGGUGCACUUGCUUGUCGGCAGGUCAACAUCAGUUUGACUUGGGGUAAAAAGCCAGAAGAAGGUAGCCCGGGGUUCGCUCUGGGUGUUAUAGCUUCUGGUCCUGCCCUGGGUUGGACUGAGGUCUGCAGUGUUAUUUGGGUUACCAGUCGCCUUCCGACGCUCUGUUGCAGACAGCACGCUGACUGUGACAGCCUUUAGGAAGCCCGGUUGAGAUUCCACACCAACGCUUAGGAUGUUGACGAAAUGGUUUUAAACGA
rnacentral:rRNA from 1 species